AACUGCGAGUGAAGCGGGAAAAGCUCAAAUUUAAAAUCUGGUGGUCUUUGGCCAUCCGAGUUGUAAUUUAGAGAAGCGUCUUCCGCGCCGGACCGUGCACAAGUCUCCUGGAAUGGAGCGUCAUAGAGGGUGAGAAUCCCGUCUUUGGCACGGACRCCCGGUGCUUCUGUGAUGCGCUCUCGAAGAGUCGAGUUGUUUGGGAAUGCAGCUCAAAAUGGGUGGUGAACUCCAUCUAAAGCUAAAUAUUGGCGAGAGACCGAUAGCGAACAAGUACCGUGAGGGAAAGAUGAAAAGCACUUUGGAAAGAGAGUGAAACAGUACGUGAAAUUGUUGAAAGGGAAACGCUUGAAGUCAGUCGCGUCGACCGAGACUCAGCCUUGCCUUGGCUUGGUGUACUUCUCGGCCCGACGGGUCAGUGUCAAUUUUGCUCCUCGGAUAAUGGCAAGGGAAAGGUGGCACCUUUACGGGUGUGUUAUAGUCUCCUGUCGCAUGCGAGGGGUGGGAUUGAGGAACUCAGCGCGCACCUUGGUGUCGGGGCUUCU
rnacentral:rRNA from 1 species